ensembl:lncRNA
CCUGCUGUCGCCUCGGUGAGCUCUCCGCUGCUCCGAACCAGCGCUGCUGCGUGCGCUUCACACUUCAUCGUUGCUCAGUCGCCAAGUCGUGUCCGACUCUCCGCAACCCCAUGGACUGCGGCACGCCAGGCCUCCCUGUCCCUCACCACCUCCAGGAGUUUGCCCAAGUUCAUGAACUUGAUGCCAUCCAACCAUCUCGUCCUCUGUCGUCCCCUUCUCCUCCUGCCUUUGAUCUUUCCCAGCAUCAGAGUCUUAACCAAUGAGUCAGCUCUUCGCAUCAGGUGGCCAAAAGUAUUGGAGCUUCAGCAUCAGUCCUUCCAGUGAGUAUUCAGGGUUGGUUUCUUUAGGAUGGACUGGUUUGAAGUGCUCCGUGCUACCACACAUCACAGCAGAGCCUAGAGUCCCUCCACACCUCCCACCCCACCCUGUGUUUCUGGCCCCUUCUCCCUUCUUUCUCUACCCAUCUAAUGGGUCAGCCCCCUGUUGCCCCACCUCUCUCCCCACCCUCAUGCCUCUUCUUCCCAAGUCUCAUCCCUCAGGCUGGAGCUCGGCUUGCAUUCCUUUGCUGCAGGCACGCUGUCCUCAGGUCAGUUUUUCAAUUUCUUCAUCUCCUUUUCCAUCCCACCACCCCCCAGGUUCAUUCUCUUCUUCAGUGAAAGUGAAAAUUGAAAGUGAAGUCGCUCAAUCGUGUCUGACUCUUUGCAACCCCAUGGACUGUAGCCCACCAGUCUCUUCCAUCCAUGGAAUUUUUCAGGCAAGAGUACUGGAGUGGGUUGCCAUUUCCUUCUCCAGGGGUUCUUCCUGACUCAGGGAUUGAACUUGGGUCUCCUGCAUUGCAGGCAGACGCCUUACCUAUUGAGCCACCAGAGAAACCCACUGCUAAACACCUCCUGUAGCCCUGCUCCAAGCCUGGCUCUGAAAGCUAGGCCUGGGCUUCAUCCCUGUCCAGAGAGCUUGGUUGCAGUUGUGGGGUGGGGAGACCAUCCAAUGAGCUGGUGGAGUUGACAGGUGCCUGGAGAGUAGCUCCUGCCUUGGCCCCAGGCCUGGGGAGAAACACUAUUUGAGCUGAAGGAUGACGUGUUUCUGGAGGCAGGCCAGUGGACACGGUGUCUUCCUUCUCCUCCCACCCAGACUGGAUCCACUAAAUUCCUACUUCAGUCUUUAAAGAUUUUUUAAAUUAACAACUUUAUUAUUUUUUUCCUUAUAUUUUAUUUUAUUUUACUUUACAGUAUUUUAUUGGUUUUGCCAUACAUCAACAUGAAUCCGCAAGGGGUGUACACGGGUUCCCCAUCCGGAACCCCCCUCCCACCUCCCUCCCCAUACCAUCCCUCUGGCUCAUCCCAGUGCACCAGCCCCAAGCAUCCUGUAUCCUGCAUUGAACCUGGACUGGCGAUUCGUUUCUUAUAUGAUAUUAUACUUGUUUCUAUGCCGUUCUCCCAAAUCAUCCCACCCUCGCCCUCUCCCACAGAGUCCAAAAGACUGUUCUAUACAUCUGUGUCUCUUCUGUUCUCUCCGCAUACAGGGUUAUUGUUACCAUCUUUGUAAAUUCCAUAUAUAUGCGUUAGUAUACUGUAUUGGUGUUUUUCUUUCUGGCUUACUUCACUCUGCAAAAUCGGCUCCAGUCUCAGCCACCUCAUUAGAACUGAUUCAAAUGUAUUCUUUUUAAUGGCUGAGUAAUACUCCAUUGUGUAUAUGUACGACAGUUUCAUAUCCAUUCAUCUGCUGAUGGACAUCUAGGUUGCUUCCAUGUCCUGGCUAUUAUAAACAGUGCUGCAGUGAACACUGGGGUACACGUGUCUCUUUCAAUUCUGGUUUCCUCGGUGUGUAUGCCCAGCAGUGGGAUUGCUGGGUCAUAAGGCAGUUGUAUUUCCAGUUUUUUAAGGAAUCUCCACACUGUUCUCCUACUCUUUGCAACCCCAUGGACUGUAGCCCACCAGGCUCUUCCAUCCAUGGAAUUUUUCAGGCAAGAGUACUGGAGUGGGUUGCCAUUUCCUUCUCCAGGGGUUCUUCCUGACUCAGGGCUUGAACUCAGGUCUCCUGCAUUGCAGGCAGAUGCUUUACCGAUUGAACCAACUAUGGAAUGAGGUUCGUGACAUUGUACAGGAGACAGGGAUCAAGAUCAUCCCCAUGGAAAAGAAAUGCAAAAAAGCAAAAUGGCUGUCUGGGGAAGCCUUACAAAUAGCUGUGAAAAGAAGAGAGGCAAAAGCAAAGGAGAAAAGGAAAGAUAUAAGCAUCUGAAUGCAGAGUUCCAGAGAAUAGCAAGAAGAGAUAAGAAAGCCUUCUUCACAAUCAGUGCAAAGAAAUAGAGGAAAAGAACAGAAUGGGAAAGACUAGAGAUCUCUUCAAGAAAACUGGAGAUGCCAAGGGAACAUUUCAUGCAAAGAUGGGCUCGAUAAAGGACAGAAAUGGUAUGGACCUAACAGAAGCAGAAGAUAUUAAGAAGAGCUGGCAAGAAUACACAGAAGAACUGUACAAAAAAGAUCUUCAUGACCCAGAUAAUCGUGAUGAUGUGAUCACUCAUCUAGAGCCAGACAUCCUGGAAUGUGAAGUCAAGUGGGCCUUAGAAAGCAUCACUACGAACAAAGCUAGUGGAGGUGAUGGAAUUCCAGUUGAGCUGUUUCAAAUCCUGAAAGAUGAUGCUGUGAAAGUGCUGCACUCAGUAUGCCAGCAAAUUUGGAAAACUCAGCAGUGGCCACAGGACUGGAAAAGAUCAGUUUUCAUUCCAAUUCCAAAGAAAGGCAAUGCCAAAGGAUGCUCAAACUACCGCACAAUUGCACUCAUCUCACAUGCUAGUAAAGUAACGCUCAAAAUUCUCCAAGCCAGACUUCAGCAAUACGUGAACUGUGAACUUCCUGAUGUUCAAGCUGGUUUUAGAAAAGGCAGAGGAACCAGAGAUCAAAUAGCCAACAUCCGCUGGAUCAUGGAAAAAGCAAGAGAGUUCCAGAAAAACAUCUAUUUCUGCUUUAUUGACUAUGCCAAAGCCUUUGACUGUAGGAGAAGCCAUUGCAAUGAGAAGCCUAAGCAACGGAACUAGAGAGCAGCCUCCACUCUCCACAACUACAGAAAGGCCACCUUCCCACGCUGUGCACAGCAAUGAAGGCCCAGUGCCGCCAAUAGGAAGUAAAUAAACAUAAAUAUUAAAAAAAAUACAGUAUGUGUCAUUGUGGUGUGAGGCCCUACUGCACUGGAUUAGUUCAGCAGGUACGUGUGAGGCAAGUGGGAUGAAACCCAUUUUUUGAAAUGGAAAUGUGGAGGGAGAAUGCCCAAAUCAGAAAAUAGAGGAACCAAGAAUUACUUUCUUUUCCAUGCAUAUUUGCUAGUUAGGGGCUGCCCUGCAGUUUUUCCUGCCAUCGCCUCUCAAGCAAUGUAAACUCCUUCAUACCUGGUUCACAGCUGACCAGGUAGGAGUGACUCAGUGUAAGUGUGAGACAGGCAGAGAGGUCUCUUGGUCUGUAGAUGGAGGGAGGCCCUGGGGGAGGGAGGGAAUACCUGCAUUUUCACGCCUUGUGCGUUUCAGAAGUUUCUUCUUGCAUCAUUUUUGUUUUCUGAGGAAAGGAGCAGAAGGAAACUUCAUUUUACAGGUGGGCAGCCCGAGACACGGAAACUGUGCACCCAGUGUGUAUGGGUACACGUGGGCCCGGUGUGUAGACCCCCAGGUCACAAGUGGUCUUGCUCCCCAACUGAUGCAGAGAACUUUCACAGUGGACAGUGGUGGUUGUCUUGUUUCUUCUUGAGAGAUCAGGGUUGUUGCAGGAAUAUACCAGGGAAAGACCAGGGAUGGGGUCAGGUGGAUGGGGGUUCUGGUCUGUCUCUGCUCUGUGGUUUAUUGGCCAAGUGAGGCUUUCUGAGCCUGAACUUACUCAGGAACAAGAAGGGGCUCUGGGCCUCCCAUCAGACAAUCUCAUGAAGCCUGGAUAUAGAAGACCUGUUGCGUUGGGCUGGUCACCUGUCUGCAGAAAUGGAGGAGGCUGCAGUUCUUCCUUGGCACUGAGGAUUUCUUUCCAAAUUUGGUUUCAUUAGCCACAUUUUGACCCAGACUGAGGUCACCAGGCAUGUGAUGGGAGAGCCUGUCAAUGUGUGUGGAAGGGAGCUGGGUGUGCG